rnacentral:rRNA from 1 species
CAGCCGCCGCGGGAAUACGUAGGGGGCAAGCGUUGUCCGGAAUUAUUGGGCGUAAAGGGCUCGCAAGCGGUUUCUUAAGUCUGACGUGAAAGCCCCCGGCUCAACCGGGGAGGGUCAUUGGAAACUGGGAAACUUGAGUGCAGAAGAGGAGAGUGGAAUUCCACGUGUAGCGGUGAAAUGCGUAGAGAUGUGGAGGAACACCAGUGGCGAAGGCGACUCUCUGGUCUGUAACUGACGCUGAGGAGCGAAAGCGUGGGGAGCGAACAGGAUUAGAUACCCCAGUAGUCCCUGUCUCUUAUAU